GGAAACUCUGAGUCAGCACGGUGAGGGAGGGAGGCCGGUUUCCCUACAAAGCCCUCCCUGCCUGACCCGCAAUGCCAGCUGCUUCUCCAGACAGGACCAGGCUCCGCUCUGCCUGACUCUUCGGAAGACAUAAGAGACUAGCCCAGGCCCUGCCAACGGCGGAUGCUCAACAAACAUGGGAUGCAAGGAAAAAUGAGAGGAGGCCUUCAGCAUCCUCCUGGUGCAAGGCCCAGUGGAGAAACACUGAGAUCUCUCUUCAGUGCGAUUCUAUUGGCCCAGGGUGGGGAACCGGCAUUGCCAUGGCUGAGGAGUACUUGGUCUCAGACUACAGCUGACCAUGGAAGAAGUCACUGAUGGAAAACACAUGUCCCGAGUCAACAAAGCGAGCCUGCACCAAACCUGACGAUCUGUGCAUGAAAGCCUGCGGAGAAGAUCCCCUUGAAAAACAGCACAGCCCACCCCUCCCAGCUUUUCUUUUUGUGAACCCAGGAGUGUUGGCUGGCUAAACGGAGGGCUGGACUAGCGACACUCAAAGCAUGGCUCAGAGGUGACAGGAAGAGCUAGCCCCAGGCCAGGCCAGGACACACUGCUUCCUUCACUGAGCAGCAUUAUCCGCUGAGGGUGGGCACCUGGUGUGGAGGUUAAGACGCUGCGUGGGCUGCCUGCAUCCCAUAUCAGAGUUCAAGGCCAGAUUCCAGCUGAAAAGCUGAUGCAGGGGGCCGGUGCUGUGGUGCAGUGGGUUAAAGCCCUGGCCUGAAGCACCCGCAUCCCAUAUGGGCACUGGGUCAAGUCCCGGCUGCUCCUCUUCCGAUCCAGCUCUCUGCUGUGGCCUGGGGAAGCAGAAGAUGGUCCAAGUCCUUGGGCCCUUGCACAUGCAAGGGAGACCUGGAAGAAGCUCCUGGAUCCUGGCUUCAGAUUGGCUCAGCCCUGGCCAUUGCAUCCAUCUGGGGAGUAAACCAGCAGACGGAAGACCUCUCUCUCUGUAUGUCUCUACCUCUCUGUAACUCUUUCAAAUAAAUAAAAAUACAUCUUAAAAAAAAUCUGAUGCAGAACCUGGAAGGCAGCAAUGGAUGGCUCAGAGAGCUGGGUCCCUACCACAGGUGGGCAACCUGCACUGAAUUCUUGGCUCCUGGCUUCAGUCUGGCCCAGCCCAGCCCCUGCUGCUGUGAGCAUUUGGGGAGUAAACAAGCAGAUGUAAGAUUUCUCUCUCUCAUCUCUCAGCACCUCAAAUAAAUAAGUAAACAAAAACUCAGCUGAACGAAACAGUGCCAUGCAGUGUCACUGAGGGACCCAGGCUGUACACAUGUAAGGUCCUCUUUAAAUUCAUUUACAUCAUUGCAAACAGUACCACAAAAGCUCAAGGCAGUAUGGUGAUGCUUUCUGUCCCCCAGGGAGGACCCAAUACCUUAAUCAAAGGCCUCACUAUGAGCAGCAAGGGGCAUGCACACUUGGGGGUGGACCUGUGGCAUGGUGGCUAAGGUACCACUUGGGGUGCCCACAUCCCAUACUGGAGAGACCGAGCCCCAGCUUCUCCACUUCCAAUCCGGCGGCCUGCUAAUGCACCUGAGGGCUCAAGUAGUUGGGUCCCUGCCACCCGAGUGGGAGACAAAGAUUGAGUCCCAGGCUCCUGGCUUCAGCCUGGCCCAGCCCUGGCUGUUAAAGGCAUUGGAGAAAUAAAUCCGUUGAUGGGAGAGCUGUCACUCUGCCUUUCAAAUAAAUAAAACAGAAAAGCCCAGUACCCUCCCUGUUCUCCUGCUUUUGGAGCACACAGUGUGGCCCUGGGUCCAUGCCACACCCUCUGCCUCUCUCUUAUUCUUCAUGUGACUUAUUGAGGCCAAAAUCACUAUGUGUGUGCUAGACACCAGCCUCUCUCACUUGGGGGUUUUAUCACAGAACAGGUCCUCUCCCCUGUCCUCUGUGUGUAUGUAUGUGUGUGUCUAUGUGGUAUGUAUAUGUGUGUCUGUGUGUGUCUCUGUGUGUGUGUGCCUUUCAUUACCAGGAGGACCCCCUUUAGGUCACUCCUGUCGGCCUGUGUGCUCUUCACUACUGGAGCAAUUCUGGGGCACUAUAGUGCACAAAUCCAUUUAUGUUAACAGACAGGGGUUUAAUAUUUCUUUGGGUCCUCGAACUUGUUGGAACUUUGACUUUCUCCCCAGAAGGUGCCUCACACUCAGAAAACUGAGCCCAUGUCCUAUUGGUUCACGGCACUCCUGAUGACAGGAGUCUUGAGGUACCACAGGUGGCUGGUACCACAGGCUCUGAGCAGGUGGCCCUGACGGGAGCUCAGGGGAGGCGGGAAAGGCCAGCCGUCCCUCUCCUCCCACACACACUUCGCCUGCUCAGUAGCCUCCUAUUUAAUAAGAUAACUGUCAAAUAGACGUGACUCACCUCGCCCACCCUUCCCCAUCCAAGGCACGGGAAGUCAGGACACAGGCCCACCCCUACGCUCUCCCACCACUGAGUUCUGGGGCCAGAGCCUCUUGAGUGGAAGCAACAGUCAAAGUAUUAUUCAUGUUAUUAUUAUUAUUAUUUUGUCCAGCUCCACCUGCCUGAGCAAAUCAAGCAAGUCAGCCCCUUGCAGGAAGCCCUAUCAUUUAGAAACUGACUCUGGAAACGGGAAACCAGAAACUGCAGUAAUGUGGGCCUUAGGGCCAAGGAGCUCCAUUAUUUCUAAGAAACGUGUUCAUUUUUAAUUUAAAAACUAUUUUUCAGUUGAGAAAUAGACAAAGCAAGCUCUCACCCACUGAUUCUCUUCCCAAUAGCCCAAAAUGGCUGGGAGUGGACUAGGCGAGCUUAAGCCAGGAGCCAGGAAGCCAAUUCCAGUGUCCCACAUAGGUGGCAGGGACCCAAACUGCCUGAGCCAUCACGGCCACAUCUGAGGGCCUGCAAAGCCAGGAAGCUGGAGUCAGAUGCCAGAGUAGACCACAGAACCCAGGUAUUCCAACGUGGGAUGCAGAUGGGUUAUCCGCAUGUUAACCAUCAGGCCAGACACCAGCUCCUGUGAAUCCUGCUGUGAUUGCUAAUGUCUGUCUCCUGCCCAACAGUGGGCACAGCCUGGGCCCUGGCUAUUCCUAGACUAAAGGGUAAUAUUUGCAGAACAGGUGCAAAUGGGAAACAGGAAAACCAGUCCAAGGUCAGGUUCAUGUUGCUGCCAGGAUUCAGUCUCUUCUCCAGAUCUGGGGAAGACACAAAAAUGUCCUGGCCUUCCAUUCACCACAGCAGCCGGUCACUUAACAACUUCCAGCAGCAGCUGUCUGGGAGUGUCCGACCCAGGUGAUGGCCCCAUGUGCCAACUUUUCAUAGAAACUAUGACGAGCAUAAGCCUUUCCAAGGUCAAGUGGUGUCUCACAGAGAACAGAAAACCAAGGAGUGUCUUAUGCCAAGAGCUGUACCUACAGGCUCCUCCCUCUAGUGCUUUGUUCAUUCCACCUGUCUGUCCUGGGAAACAGGUAGCAGGCCUCACGGGAGGCACUGUGUGCACAAGACCAAGCUCAGACCUGGAGCAGCUGCUCAUUAGAGAAUGAAGAGAUGGACAUGGGGCCGGGUUGAUGAUGAUAACGCAUGCCAAACAUCUCAGAUGCACACAGCAAGGGCAGGGCUGCUCUGGCUGUGCCAGCAGGGAUGGUGCCACAGAGCAGGUAAAAACAGGCCACCAAGGACACCAAGGCAGAAGGACGACUUCCAGUGCCUGUGGACUGGCACAUUUGGGGACCAGGUUGGGAAGGACUGGCAGGGAGAAGUGGCAGGAAAUGAACCAGACACGUAACUGGCCAGGGUUUCGUGCAGGACUUUUGAGUGUUAGAUUGAGAGAAUUAUUUUCCCCCUCAAUCAAUAGGUGGCUGGUGCCAGAAUUCACUGUAAGAGUAGCCUGGUCCACCUAGGGUUUGCAAAGGGAAAAGGUGGCACAGGCAAAGGUGGAGGCAGAGGCAGGGAAAUCCCUUGGAAGACAGGAGAGAAACUGGUGGGCAGGAUUGCAGAAGCCCUGUGCCCAGGUGCUUUUCACAAGGAGACAAGCACUGGGUAGAACGAGCGUGGGGAGGCCCUGACACUGUAGGGACAGGAGGAAUGGACAGAGUCCAUCAGGAUCCCAGUGCAGCAUUCUAAGGACAUGGAGAUUUGGUCUCAGCGACUCUUUGGCAUUAAAAAUCAAUCACCAUGGGGCCAGCAGUGUGGCACAGUGGGUUAAUGUCCUGGCCUGGAGUACCGGCAUCCCAUAUGGGCACUGGUUCAAGACCCGGCUGCUCCACUUCUGAUUCAGCUCUCUGCUAUGGCCUGGGAAAGCAGUGGA